rnacentral:rRNA from 12 species
CAUGACAGCCACAAGGUCCGGCAAGUGCCUGAUCCUGUCGGAUCUCGAAAGCUAAGCAGGGCCAGGCCUGCUUAGUACUUGGAGGGGGGUUCACCUUGGAAGACCAGGGGCCAUUAGUC